AUUGAACGCUGGCGGCAGGCCUAACACAUGCAAGUCGAGCGGAGCGGCGGACGGGUGAGUAAUGCCUAGGAAUCUGCAUGGUAGUGGGGGAUAACGUCCGGAAACGGGCGCUAAUACCGCAUACUAUCAGAUGAGCCUAGGUCGGAUGAGAUAGUUGGUGGGGUAAAGGCGUACCACGGCGACGAUCCGUAACUGGUCUGAGAGGAUGAUCAGUCACACUGGAACUGAGACACGGGACAGACUCCUACGGGAGGCAGCAGUGGGGAAUAUUGGACAAUGGGCGAAAGUCUGAUCCAGCCAUGCCGAGUGUGUUAAGAAGGUCUUCGGAUUGUAAUGCACUGUAAGUUGGGAGGCGUUACAAACAGAAUAAGCACCGGCUAACUUCGUGCCAGCAGCCGCGGUAAUUC
rnacentral:rRNA from 1 species